rnacentral:rRNA from 1 species
GACGAACGCUGGCGGCGUGCUUAACACAUGCAAGUCGAACGGAAAGGCCCUGCUUUUGUGGUGUGCUCGAGUGGCGAACGGGUGAGUAACACGUGAGUAACCUGCCCUUGACUUUGGGAUAACUUCAGGAAACUGGGGCUAAUACCGGAUAGGAGCUCCUGCUGCAUGGUGGGGGUUGGAAAGUUUCGGCGGUUGGGGAUGGACUCGCGGCUUAUCAGUUUGUUGAUGGGGUAGUGACUUACAAAGGCUUUGACGGGUAGCAGGCCUGGGAGGGUGAACAGCAACAUAGGGGCUGAGAGACGACCCAGACUCCUACGGGAGACAGAAAUGAGGAAUAAUACAAAAAGGGCGAACGCCUGAUGAGACAACGCCGCGUGCGGGAUGAAGACCUUCAGGAAGAAAACCACUAACACCAGUGACGAAGCAUGAGUGACGAUAAAGGAUAAAGAAGAACCGGCUAGCUACGUG